GAUGAACGCUAGCUACAGGCUUAACACAUGCAAGUCGAGGGGAAACGACAUCGAAAGCUUGCUUUUGAUGGGCGUCGACCGGCGCACGGGUGAGUAACGCGUAUCCAACCUGCCCACCACUUGGGGAUAACCUUGCGAAAGUAAGACUAAUACCCAAUGAUAUCCCACGAAGGCAUCCGAAUGGGAUUAAAGAUUUAUCGGUGAUGGAUGGGGAUGCGUCUGAUUAGCUUGUUGGCGGGGUAACGGCCCACCAAGGCAACGAUCGAGUAGGGGUUCUGAGAGGAAGGUCCCCCACAUUGGAACUGAGACACGGUCCAAACUCCUACGGGAGGCAGCAGUGAGGAAUAUUGGUCAAUGGACGGGAGUCUGAACCAGCCAAGUAGCGUGCAGGAUGACGGCCCUAUGGGUUGUAAACUGCUUUUGUGCGGGGAUAAAGUGUGGGACGUGUCCCAUAUUGCAGGUACCGCAUGAAUAAGGACCGGCUAAUUCCGUGCCAGCAG
rnacentral:rRNA from 1 species